GGAAGGAUCAUUGUCGAAAACUUGCCAAAGAACAACCGAGAACAUGUUAUUUCUAUAGUGGUGGUUGCCUUGAGCUCACCCUACCUCGUUGGUGAACAUUGCAACAUGCAUGUAUUUUCGGGUAUUUAAGCGGGGAUCAUGUUUGUGUGCGUGUUCAUUCAGGCGAGUCUCACAACAAACCCGGCGCGGAAUGCGCCAAGGAACCAUAAUAGAAGAACAUACUCUUGCUGUACCGUUCAUGGUGUGCAAUGAGAUGUGUUUGCUUUUGAACCAUAACGACUCUCGGCAACGGAUAUCUCGGCUCUCGCAUCGAUGAAGAACGCAGCAAAAUGCGAUACUUGGUGUGAAUUGCAGAAUCCCGUGAAUCAUCGAGUCUUUGAACGCAAGUUGCGCCCGAAGCCAUUAGGUUGAGGGCACGUCUGCCUGGGUGUCACAUGAUGCGUCACGCCAAACCCUUGCCCACAUUUGAUGUCGGUCGGGGAUAUUGUGGGGUGGAUGUUGGCCUCCCGUGCACUUCUUUUGUGAGCGGUUGGUUGAAAAAUACGAGUUCCUAAUGCACGCUUUAUGGCGAUUGGUGGUUGUUACACCCGCACAUUGCGUCGUGCUCCUUUGCUUGAGCUGUGUCAAUAUAGGGACUCGUCUUUGACCCUUUAGUAUUGUCUUCGAGAUGAUACCUCUAU
rnacentral:misc_RNA from 1 species